ensembl:snRNA U6 U6 spliceosomal RNA
GUGCUCGCUUCGGCAGCACAUAUACUAAAAUUGGAAUGAACAGAAAAGAUUAGCAUGGCCCCUGUGGAAGGAUGAUAUACAAAUUCGUGAAGUGUUCCAUAUUUAA